CCACAGAGUCCUUCUCUCCUGGGGUAGGGAUGACAGGAAGUCAGCCAGAUGGCACGGUGAAGGUCUGCAGCAUGUGACCUCGUCUCUGGAGAGAAGAGGAGGAGAGGCGGGAGGAGAGAGGAGGAGAAAGAGGAGGGGGAGCGAACCUGUUGAGCUCAAGUAGCCCUGGAGUCGGCGAGGCGCCGAGGCCUGUGCUAACCUCCAGCUCCUCACCUCUGCAUUCCAACUCGCGAUGAUGUGUCGGGCGAUAGACUGACUCCCUUAACCUGCCGCCCAGCGCCGUGAUCUUCCCCAGGUGGAAGGAGAUGGAAGAGGCCACAGAGAUCCAGACUGGAAUUCCCACGUCAUCCAUCACUCCUGGCGCAGCAACCAGCGUGUGGCUGCUGGCAGCUGCUCAGCUUCCUUUCAGCACGCGGCGGGAUCUGCGCCUCCAUCUGAGCGCCAGCGAGAAGGGCGAAAAUAACGAGAGGAGAGGAGGAGGAAGAGCAAGAGAGGUGAGGUGGAUGAGCCAGGGGGAGGGCUGCAGGAGAAAGGGGGAGGCCUGAGAAGACAGAUGCCACCACUGCGGCCGUGGCAUUGUGGGGUAUUAAUAGCCCAGAGCCACGUCGUGCCAGCCUCAUUGGGAAGGUGGCGGCCGCCGCGCUGGGUGGCUAGCUCAUGCUAGCAUCAAAAUGAAAGGAGCGGAGGUGUGAAAAAAAAUGCAGCUGGUCAGGAUGGAGUUCUGUAAACAAACCACGGGCCAAGAAUGCACCCACAUGACAGCUUUAUUGAUUUAGCAUCUGUCCUAUAAAAAUCCUCCUCCGUCACCUGGUGGCCUUGAAAACCCUGUUCCUCGGCCCUAAACAGAGCAUCCUCACCCAGUCACUCUAGCACAGUGUUUCAAGUAGGCCACACGGGAACUUCCUGUCUUGUGUUUUUAAGUUACAGACCCACAUUUUACCACAGCGGGGAAAAACCUCAACAACCACUUCCCAACCAUUUCGUCACAAUCGAACAACUAGCUGUGCGAUGACUACAGGACAGUUGGGUGUGCAUGCAUCGCUUCAAUGAGUGUGGGAAUUGAUCCUAGUUACUCAGAUACAAGUCAAUAAUAUCUAUAACAUCCUCUUCUCCUCAGUAUUUUUCCAUCAGUCACUGCAGCAUCUGAAUUUUUUGACUUUUUUUGGGGGAGUGAUUUUAACGUUGCUUUGGCCCAGCUCUUCUCUGCCGUCUCACGGAACUUGUGGGGAGUUGAUCCUCCGCCUCAGAGUCCUCAAUGCUGCAUGAUUGAUUACCUGUGAGUCCAAGGCAUAUCUGUCAUUGACUGAGAUGCUGUGCUGAAGGGCAGGCAGGAAGUGUUACUGAGGAAGUGCUUUGUGCAUUUCACUUCAUUCUAAACACUCUGAUGACGGGGGUCACCUCAUCACCCUCUAUUGACCAGGGACUGUCACUGAUCAUUCGUAGUGCCAAGUGUUCUGGAGCUCAAUAGGUGGCGCUGUCAGUGAUAUGAGGUUUUUCAAACCCAUGGAUUACAAUGAAGAGGCCCACUGUUUCGUGAAACCUGCCCUGCCCAUCACACACACAACACAUCUUUGCUCCUCACCUGUGCCAGCUCCACCUCCUUAUCCACACCGGUCUGUUCUCUUUUCACAAAAAUAACUCACCGUUCCUCUCCAUGGGCACGCACUUUCCUUGCCUGCCCACCAACACGUCUUUGUUGCCAAGCUGGACAACAUACCAAAAACAGGCAGUACAACUUCCUCCUCCUGCCCGCCUGUGGCGCUGCCAUCGUGUAGACACCUAUAAAGCCACUAUCUCAGCGUCUCAGCUCUCCAGUGGUGCACCAGUCUCCCUGCAGGUCCUGGUCCCCUCUCCUUCUUUUCAUACCCACGCUCCCUGCUGUGUCCGCAGUGGUGGAACUGUUGAUAUCACAAAUAUGAAGUCGCUCUCAUCCGCUCUGCUCGGUGCGUUAGCAGAACGGAAGCGUGUAUUGAUGAAGUUUGCCGGUCACUUUCCCUCCAUAACUCACUUAAUCAAUGGGAGUGCAGUGAUGGCUCUUCAGUUUCUAUCGACCUGCUCCAGCUCACUCCUGAUUUAGUAAAUAAAACUUUCCCCCGGACCGCUUCAUUGUUUCCCCUCCAUAUUCCUGGCCGUUAUAAAAGUUUAUAUCCUGACGUGGCUGCGCGCUGAUGUCCCUCGCAGGAGCGCUAACAUCGCUGCACCUGAAUAAUUCAGCCAUGCUCCGCUGCCCCUCACUCACUGUUUGGAGAAGCAGGUAAUGAGAAAAGCUAUAAAACGCCUCGCCGGCUUUUGCUGCCAGAAGGAGAGGGAAAAAAAACAAAAAAAACGAGGAAAACUAGAUCCAGUUCAUAAGGAGAGACACUGAAGAUGGGUUUUUUUUCCUGCUGAUUUACUGUAAAUGGAAGCAUGAGAGCACAAAGGGAGGAGAACUUCAAAAGCAUGACCUGCAUAUUUUGAGUCAAUUAGAUGUUUCUAAUGUUACUGUGGAGGUGCGAUGCUCAGCCGAGCGUCCUGGGCCGGAACAAAAGAGGGGAAUGUGUCGGAGUGGCUUCCCUCUUGAUCAUUCGGCGUUUUCCAAGGUGUAAACAUGAAACUGCUCAGGGAGGAAUCAUCCAAGCAGGGCAACCGCUGGCAGCAGU